GUGCUUGAUUGGGCAACACAUGCGCUGAAAUUAGCAUAAUACAGAGAAUAUUAGCAUGGUCCCUGCUCAAGGAUGACACACAAUUUUUUUGUUUU
ensembl:snRNA U6 U6 spliceosomal RNA